rnacentral:tmRNA from 1 species
GGGGGCGACUUGGCUUCGACGUGAGUAGCAAAACCUUAGGUGCAUGCCGAGCUUUCAGGAAUCUCGUAAAACAUCUGAAAAAUUAUAGUUGCAAACGACGACAACUACGCAAUCGCUGCUUAAGAACCAGUAGAUUGCUGUCUGACUGGAGCCGUGCUUAUGCGUCCAG